UUCCCCUUUCAAUUCCCAUAUUUCAUUUACUCCGUACCUUUAAACAAUAAACCUCCGUCAUUUCAGAGACCAGAGUAGCAAUUUUGUUCUCCCAACCAGUCAAAUUGGAGAUUGAAGAUUAGAGGGACAUUUUUCUUCCAUCAAAUCCAUGAGCAAGGAUUACAUUUCUUCAAUGGCUACAGAUAAUUGGUUUCGUGUUCAAUUCGUAGCUUAGUUUCUAACAUUCUUCCCGAUCAAUUACCUUCUCUCCUGUUAUCCUUGAGAUCCGUGCUUAUUAGCUACAAGAAGAAGACAAAAAGUACUCUGCCAAGAAGUCAUUUGAUCUGUUUCUUUAGAAGCUACUAGAUUGCAAAAGUUGUAUAGUCGAUCAGCUUGAUGUACUAACAGUUUGACAAGAGAAUAGAACAUUUAAGGAGUAGGCAACAUGGCCAGCAUGUCCUCACAGGAGCAUUCAUAGAACCAGCUAAGUCUACUCCUCUUUUUGUUUUUCAUUUUGAAUAUGGGAAAUGUAUUGUGGGAUUAUGCUACAAUAUUAUCUUGUUUCUAACUGGUUGUCUUGGUCUGUAUAUAUAAAUUAUGUAUGCUGGAAUUUAUAUAUGUUGCAUUACAUUACAUUACAAGUGCAAAAAUGAAAGAUUGUUAUUUGAAAUUUCAUAUUUUUAGAGGAGACGCUACUGAACUUUAUACUCAACGAGGUAUGGUCUUACGUUUACAUUUGUAAGCAAGUCAAAAUGAUCCUCUAAAUGUAGUGCCAUGACACCUUCUGUGUGUCCAGCUUAGCAUCCCAUAUAGAUUCUGAAAAGUAGAAGAAAUGCCAGCCCUUUCUUGAACCUCUUCCCUGCAUAUGCAGAUAUAAUGGCAAUGAAAUAACAGACAAAAGUUUUUAAUUCUGUCACAUGAUAAAAUUUGAGUGAAAAUGUUUCGUGUUUCAUCAUAGAAGGCACCUAUUAGGACCGGUGUUGUAUAUAAAACAUAGAGGACAAGAAAAGGUAGCAGUGCAACAUGUAUGAACUUUGAUCUAUAAUGGCUUAGAGGACAAGAAAACCAAGCAUUGACCAAGAAAUCCUAGCAGGAAGCAGAAGCUUUUGAAAACACGUGCACCUUGCAAGGAAAAGUUUGAAUAUAAUCCAGCAAUAAGUAAAUGCAAUAAAGUCAAAAGGCUUCUAAUAAGUAAUAAAAAUAUGCAAUAUCACAAACUUACUACCUGCAAAACUAGUGCAAGAAAUCUAGACAUACAAAUUUCCUCUGUUUGCAUGUUUAAUACACUUAGUAUUAGGUAGUCAAUCCUUCUUCUCAUCUACUUUGGUCUAUUUAAGGCUCGUUUGAUCCUUACAUGUCAUAUUUUGACAAAAAUAGCCGUUUUCGCUCCCAACUCUCAACUCAUGAACCAAAAUAGGAAUUCUUAACCUUUACAUGUUCAAAAUACUUAGUAUUAGCUUGUCAAUCCUCAUUCUCAUCUACUUUGGUCAAUUUAUGCACAUUUUAGGGUCGUUCGAUCCUUACAUGUCAUAUUUUGACAAAAAAUAGCAGUUUUCGCUCCCAAAUGAGACUUAUGUGUGCAUAAAGAACUUGAAAUGAAUCUUAGUAACCUCUAACUAAGCAUAUCAAACAUAAAAAAGAUUUAGAAAGUGUCCUUAGGUUCAUUUGUUGAUAUUUGGGAUCGAAAAUGCCAUUUUUGGCCAAAUAUGACCUAUACCGAGCCAAAUGAGCCUUAGACGUGCAUAACGAACUUGAAAUGAAUCUUAGUAACCUCUAACUAACCAUAUCAAACAUAAAAAGAUUUAGAAAAUGUCAUUAGGUUCAUUUGUUGAUAUUUGGGAUCGAAAAUGUCAUUUUUGUCCAUAAAUGACCUAUAUCGACCCAAAUGACCAAUAGGAGUGCAUAACGAACUUGAAAUGAGUCUUAUAAUCAUAUAACUAAUCAUAUAAAUCAUGAAAAAGGUUUAGAAUGUGGAUAUAGGUUCGUUUGUUGGUAGUUGGGAUCGAAAAUGUCAUUUUUGGCCAUGAAUGACCUAUAUUGACCCAAAUGACCCAUAGGCGUGCAUAACGAACUUGAAAUGAGUCUUAUAAUCAUAUAACUAAUCAUAGAAAUCAUGAAAAAGGUUUAGAAUGUGGAUAUAGGUUCGUUUGUUGGUAGUUGGGAUCGAAAAUGACAUUUUUGUCCAUAAAUGACCUAUAUCGACCCAAAUGGCCCAUAGGCGUGUAUAACGAACUUGAAAUGAGUCUUAUAAUCAUAUAACUAAUCAUAAGAAUCAUGAAAAAGGUUUAGAAUGUAGAUAUAGGUUCAUUUGUUGGUAGUUGGAAUCAAAAAUGCCAUUUUUGGCCAUAAAUGACCUACAUCGACCCAAAUGACCCAUAGGGGUGCAUAACGAACUUGAAAUGAGUCUUAUAAUCAUACUAAUCAUAGGAAUCAUGAAAAAGGUUUAGAAUGUGGAUAUAGGUUCUUUUGUUGGUAGUUGGGAUCGAAAAUGCCAUUUUUGUCCAUAAAUGACCUAUAUCGACCCAAAUGACCCAUAGGCGUGUAUAACGAACUUGAAAUGAGUCUUAUAAUCAUAUAACUAAUCAUAUGAAUCAUGAAAAACGUUUAGAAUAUGGAAAUAGGUUCGUUUGUUGGUAAUUGGGAUCGAAAAUGCCAUUUUUGGCCAUAAAUGACCUAUAUCGACCCAAAUGACCCUUAAGCGUGCAUAACGAACUUGAAAUGAGUUUCAUAAACAUUUAACUAAUCAUAUUAAUCAUUAAAAAGGUUUAUAAUUUUAAUAUAAGUUCGUUUGUUGGUAGUUGGGAUCGAAAAUGCCAUUUUUGGCCAUAAAUUACCUAUAUCGACCCAAAUGACCCUUAGGCGUGCAUAACGAAGUUGAAAUGAGUCUUAUAAUAAUAUAAUUAAUCAUAAGAAUCAUGAAAAACAUUUAGAAUAUGGAUAUAGGUUUGUUUGUUGGUAAUUGGGAUCGAAAAUGUCAUUUUUGACCAUAAAUGACCUAUAUCGACCCAAAUGACCCAUAGGCGUGUAUAACGAACUUGAAAUGAGUCUUAUAAUCAUAUAACUAAUCAUAUGAAUCAUGAAAAACGUUUAGAAUAUGGAAAUAGGUUCGUUUGUUGGUAAUUGGGAUCGAAAAUGCCAUUUUUGGCCAUAAAUGACCUAUAUCGACCCAAAUGACCCUUAGGUGUGCAUAACGAACUUGAAAUGAGUUUCAUAAACAUUUAACUAAUCAUAUUAAUCAUUAAAAAGGUUUAUAAUUUUAAUAUAAGUUCGUUUGUUGGUAGUUGGGAUCGAAAAUGCCAUUUUUGGCCAUAAAUUACCUAUAUCGACCCAAAUGACCCUUAGGCGUGCAUAACGAAGUUGAAAUGAGUCUUAUAAUAAUAUAAUUAAUCAUAAGAAUCAUGAAAAACAUUUAGAAUAUGGAUAUAGGUUUGUUUGUUGGUAAUUGGGAUCGAAAAUGUCAUUUUUGACCAUAAAUGACCUAUAUCGACCCAAAUGAACCAUAGACGUGCAUAACUAACUUGAAAUGAGUCUUAUAAUCAUAUAACUAAUCAUAUGAAUCAUGAAAAACGUUUAGAAUAUGGAAAUAGGUUCGUUUGUUGGUAGUUGGGAUCGAAAAUGCCAUUUUUGGCCAUAAAUGACCUAUAUCGACCCAAAUGACCCUUAGGUGUGCAUAACGAACUUGAAAUGGGUUUCAUAAAGAUAUAACUAAUAAUAAGAAUCAUGAAAAACAUUUAGAAUAUGGAUAUAGGUUUGUUUGUUGGUAGUUGGGAUCGAAAAUGCCAUUUUUGACCAUAAAUGACCUAUAUCGACCCAAAUGAACCAUAGGCGUGCAUAACGAACUUGAAAUGAGUCUUAUAAUCAUAUAACUAAUCAUAUAAAUCAUGAAAAAGGUUUAGAAUGUGGAUAUACGUUCGUUUGUUCGUAGUUGGGAUCGAAAAUGCCAUUUUUGGCCAUAAAUGACCUAUAUCGAUCCAAAUGAUCAAUAGGCGUGCAUAACGAACUUGAAAUGAGUCUUAUAAUCAUCUGACUAAUUUUAUAAAUCAUGAAAAAGGGUUAGAAUGUGGAAAGAGGUUCGUUUGUUGGUAGUUGGGUUCCAAAAUGUCAUUUUUGGCCAAUAUAAUUGUUUUCGUGACCAAUAUAAUUUUUGUUUUCGCAUAUGAAACUUAAUUAAUUUAUUGGUUUGCAUGUACGGUGUUUUUAUAAAGGUUUUCAAAACUCCAAGGGAGGGGCCCUUUACCAAAAAGGAGUUGGAUGAAGUUCGAGACAAGUGGCUACUUACUUCAACGAUUGUGAACUACCCUCAGUGUAAUAAAUAGAGAAGGCUUGUAGUUAUUCGUGACUCCUACAUUAUUUUGUUAUUUAUCGAUUUAAUUAAUUACAUUUGAAUUAAUUCGGUAAUAUUAUUGGAAAUUUGAAAUUUAUAUCA